rnacentral:rRNA from 1 species
CACCGCAGUAAACGCCUUAAGCCUUUCGCCUGGGGAGUACGGUCGCACGAUUAAAACUCAAAGGAAUUGACCGGGGCCCGCACACGCGGUGGAGCAUGUGGUUUAAUUCGAAGCAACGCGCAGAACCUAACCAGCCCUUGACUUCCUGGUCGCGAUUUCCAGAGAUGGAUUUCUUCAGUUCGGCUGGACCAGUGACAGGUGCUGCAUGGCUGUCGUCAGCUCGUGUCGUGAGAUGUUGGGUUAAGUCCCGCCACGAGCGCAACCCUCACCCUUAGUUGCCAUCAGGUUAAGCUGGGCACUCUAAGGGAACUGCCGGUGAUAAGCCGGAGGAAGGUGGGGAUGACGUCAAGUCCUCAUGGCCCUUAUGGGCUGGGCUACACACGUGCUACAAUGGCCGGUACAAACCGUCGCAAACUCGCAAGGGUGAGCUAAUCGGAGAAAGCCGGUCUCAGUUCGGAUUGUAGGCUGCAACUCGCCUGCAUGAAGUUGGAAUCGCUAGUAAUCGCGGAUCAGCACGCCGCGGUGAAUACGUUCCCGGGCCUUGUACACACCGCCCGUCACACCA